rnacentral:rRNA from 2 species
ACAACUUUCAACAACGGAUCUCUUGGUUCUCGCAUCGAUGAAGAACGCAGCGAAUUGCGAUAUGUAAUGUGAAUUGCAGAAUUCAGUGAAUCAUCGAAUCUUUGAACGCACAUUGCACCCUCUAGUAUUCUGGAGGGUAUGCCUGUUUGAGUGUCAUU